AACGAACGCUGGCGGCAUGCCUAACACAUGCAAGUCGAACGGGAUCCAGGCUUCGGCCUGGUGAGAGUGGCGGACGGGUGAGUAACACGUGGGAACCUGCCUUUUGGUUCGGGAUAACCGCGGGAAACUGCGGCUAAUACCGGAUGCUCCCGAGAGGGGAAAGAUUUAUCGCCAGAAGAGGGCCCGCGUCCGAUUAGGUAGUUGGUGAGGUAAUGGCUCACCAAGCCGACGAUCGGUAGCUGGUCUGAGAGGAUGAUCAGCCACACUGGGACUGAGAUACGGCCCAGACUCCUACGGGAGGCAGCAGUGGGGAAUAUUGGACAAU
rnacentral:rRNA from 1 species